GCUGGGCGCAGUGGCACGUGCCCAUAAUCCCAGCAGCUUGGGAAGCGGAGGCAGGAGGGUCACAUGAGUUCAAAGUCAGCCUCAACAAUUUAGCAAAGUGCUAUAAGCAACUCAGUGAGACCCUGUCUCUA
rnacentral:sRNA from 1 species